UACGUAGGGUGCGAGCGUUGUCCGGAAUUACUGGGCGUAAAGAGCUCGUAGGUGGUUUGUCGCGUUGUUCGUGAAAUCUCACGGCUUAACUGUGAGCGUGCGAGCGAUACGGGCAGACUGGAGUACUGCAGGGGAGACUGGAAUUCCUGGUGUAGCGGUGGAAUGCGCAGAUAUCAGGAGGAACACCGGUGGCGAAGGCGGGUCUCUGGGCCGAUACUGACGCUGAGGAGCGAAAGCGUGGGGAGCGAACAGG
rnacentral:rRNA from 1 species